GACUCUGGGAUAAGCGCUGGAAACGGCGUCUAAUACUGGAUAUGAGCCCCUAUCGCAUGGUGGGGGUUGGAAAGAUUUUUUGGUCUGGGAUGGGCUCGCGGCCUAUCAGCUUGUUGGUGAGGUAAUGGCUCACCAAGGCGUCGACGGGUAGCCGGCCUGAGAGGGUGACCGGCCACACUGGGACUGAGACACGGCCCAGACUCCUACGGGAGGCAGCAGUGGGGAAUAUUGCACAAUGGGCGAAAGCCUGAUGCAGCAACGCCGCGUGAGGGAUGACGGCCUUCGGGUUGUAAACCUCUUUUAGCAGGGAAGAAGCGAAAGUGACGGUACCUGCAGAAAAAGCGCCGGCUAACUACGUGCCAGCAGCCGCGGUAAUACGUAGGGCGCAAGCGUUAUCCGGAAUUAUUGGGCGUAAAGAGCUCGUAGGCGGUUUGUCGCGUCUGCUGUGAAAUCCCGAGGCUCAACCUCGGGCCUGCAGUGGGUACGGGCAGACUAGAGUGCGGUAGGGGAGAUUGGAAUUCCUGGUGUAGCGGUGGAAUGCGCAGAUAUCAGGAGGAACACCGAUGGCGAAGGCAGAUCUCUGGGCCGUAACUGACGCUG
rnacentral:rRNA from 1 species